rnacentral:rRNA from 1 species
AUGAACGCUGGCGGCGUGUCUAAGGCAUGCAAGUCGAGUGGGUUUAGACCCACGGCAAACGGGUGCGUAACACAUUGGUAAUCUGCCCCUGACUCAGGCAUAAUCCAUCGAAAGGUGGAAUAAUUCCUGAUAGACACGAGGGGACAUAAGUCAUUCUCGUGUAAAGUUUUUUCGGUUGGGGAGGAGCCUAUGGCCCAUCAGCUAGUUGGUAGGGUAAAAGCCUACCAAGGCUAUGACGGGUAGCGGGUGUGAGAGCAUGACCCGCCUCACUGGGACUGAGACACUGCCCAGACUCCUACGGGAGGCUGCAGUCAAGAAUAUUCCGCAAUGGCCGAAAGGCUGACGGAGCGACGCCGCGUGCAGGAAGACGCCCUUCGGGGUGUAAACUGCUUUUCUAUGGGAGGAAUUCGUGACGUUACCAUAGGAAUAAGCCACUGCUAACCUCGU